CGUUAGGUCAAGCAUUUGGAAAGAAGUUGCCAAACAUGGCAUUCUCUCAAAUUCUCAAUUAGCAUAUUUCACAAGUGCCAAGAUUUGAGAAGGCCACUGAACUCUUCGAUCAUCGUGAUUAUCCCGUUCAUAGCUUAAUGAAUGUAACUGAAUUUGAGCGUGCAUAUAUUGGCAAAAUUGCAUGGGAUGUACAACAUGACCGUACUCCAUACAGUGUUGCACCUGCUGUCAGAGACAAGCCACCACAGGGAAGUCAUGGUGAAAAAGAUGAAGGUGUUCCAUUUACGAGUAGUGGAAGAAGUGAGAAACGAAAGUAGGCAUCUGUGGAAAGUAAGGGUAAAGGAGGGAGGCGGCAAAUGGGAGAUAAGCCGAUAAACCAGCCUUCAUCAUCGACUGUAGGAGUUGCUACUCAUGUUCGUGUUAAGCCAUCGACUCCAUCCCAACCUCCAACGACUCCAUCCCAUGAUGAGGUAUCUUUGAGAGAGAGAUUAACUAUCCAUGAAGGUGAAGUGGCUAAUGUACUGCAAGACGUUAAGGAUUUAAGAAUCGCCAUGCUUAGAGACCAAACUUGAUAAGUUAAUGAAGCACCAAGGAGUGGGAGUUGGUGCUGACGGUUUAAGAGACGGGAUGGAAGCAGACGUUGAAGGGGAUGAAAAUAAAGAAGAGUUUGGUCCCGAUGUGACCCUCGUUGAUAGACAGUCAUAUCCAUCCGUUGUAGACGAUGCAGGACCAAGUAUUAAGAUUAUCAAGAAAGUGUCUCCAUCAAAGUUUCCGGCCGCAAGACGUGCAAAAAGGUAGGAGCUGCUAAGCAAAGUAGAGAUAUUGGGAGGUAGGAUAGGAAGGCGGCAGCAGUUAUUACUACUCCUUACAGUAUUGAAGGCUUGCGGAAAAAACUACAGUGCACUUUAUCUGGUGCAUCUUCUACUUUAAAGUUCGACCCAUACAAACCAGUACCCACUCGACUUGUAAAAAAUUUUGAUCAAUUUAUGAAGUCCGGUUGGACAGCAAAGGUGGAUAUGGAUAUUUUGUCUGUGGGUAAAGACUUUUUCCAGUUGCUUAUAACCAGUGAGAGGUGGCUAAAUCACGAUGUAAGUAUUUUUCGAUUAAGAUUUUUAUUUUAUAAUUUGAUAAAUUCCAUAGAUUGUCGUUCAACUGCAUGGAUGUAAUUUAAAUUUAACUUGUCUUUCAAUGCAACAUAUGGAAGUCUUGCCUUACUUAUUUCGUGUACGUGCCAAUCGAUUCCCUGAUGUUUUUUAUCCUAGUUUUGAGGUGAUAGAUGGAGGAUUUUGGGUAUACAUUGAGCAGUGUUAUGGAAAGUUCCUCGCCAAUCCAUCUAAUUUCUAAUUCUCAUAUGCAAUGCAAGAAUAUGUAUUGGGGAUUCGAAUGAAGGAGUCGAAGCCAUAAAAAUGCGUAAAUCAUGUACAAUAUA